GACGAACGCUGGCGGCGUGCUUAACACAUGCAAGUCGAACGGUAAGGCCCUUCGGGGUACACGAGUGGCGAACGGGUGAGUAACACGUGGGUGAUCUGCCCUGCACUUCGGGAUAAGCCUGGGAAACUGGGUCUAAUACCGGAUAGGACUCCGGACUGCAUGGUCUGGGGUGGAAAGCUUUUGCGGUGUGGGAUGGGCCCGCGGCCUAUCAGCUUGUUGGUGGGGUGAUGGCCUACCAAGGCGACGACGGGUAGCCGGCCUGAGAGGGUGACCGGCCACACUGGGACUGGGAUACGGCCCAGACUCCUACGGGAGGCAGCAGUGGGGAAUAUUGCACAAUGGGCGCAAGCCUGAUGCAGCGACGCCGCGUGAGGGAUGACGGCCUUCGGGUUGUAAACCUCUUUCAGUAGGGACGAAGCGCACGUGACGGUACCUACAGAAGAAGGACCGGCCAACUACGUGCCAGCCGCCGCCGUAA
rnacentral:rRNA from 1 species